GAACGACGAGUUACUUGGCGAGAGAGUUGCAAUUCGUGGACGGAAUUAGUUAGGAAAAAGUGAAAAGGAAGAUUUGGAUAGCCCAAUAGAGCGAGUGCGGGAAGAGUGUACGGAAUAAGCUGAAAGUAGCAAGCUCUGGAGAACCGGGAGAGUGCCUUGAAAGCUCUGGAUAGUCGCAUAGACGAAGCGCACGUUGGAGUGUUAAGGUCUUUUACAAGUAAAAAGCUCAGAAAACUAGAGACACUACGUUGAAGGCUCUGGAUCGUCCAACUGAAUUGAUGCAAGCCUGGGGGUAUUAGCGUAAUCUGAAAGCUCAGAAGAUUCGAGACACGACGUUGAAGGCUCUGGAUCGUCCAACUGAAUUGAUGCAAGCCUAGGGGUAUAAGCGUAAUCUGAAAGGGGAAAGCUCAGAAAAUUCAAAAUACUGCGCUGGCGGGUUUGGAUAGCCCAGAUGAAGCGAUGAAGGUCGAAUCCGUUGUCCGAUCUGAAACGAGCACUUCGCUGCUCGCCUGCACCUUGACUAUCGCUUUUUUCCGACAUUUUCUGAUGUACAGCCUCGACAAUUGAAGUAUAGCAAUAAGGGCUUCGGGAUGAUGCAUAUGAAGUUCCAGGAUUCUCGUUUGCCUUUGCGGAGUCGCAGCUGUGACGCUGCCUCUGGAAUUCACGAAACCAUGGACGUCAAGAUCAUUCGCGACACCCUAGAAAACGGGUUCGUUCUGUACCCGAUAUCAGGAUCCAGUUCAAAAGCGCAAGCCUCAUCGCUGCUCUCUUACUUUGAUGUAGCAUGCUCAAAUCAUGGAUUCUUCAAUGUUUGGGAUCCUUCUGUUGCAAGGCAACUUGGGGGCGCACCAAUUCGCGCCCCAGCGUGGACAAGGCGAAAAACUCGACAUCUUCUCUCUUGAGGACGUCUUCACCAGCUCAUACCGAUUGUGCACUGUACUUGCCUCGUCAAAUACUCGACACCGUUCGAAAGCCAAACCGCCAUUUCUAUGUGGACAUUGAUGAAACCGGACUCGACAGCUGCGUGAUGCCUCGCUCGGAAUGUGGUACCCGAGUCUCCCGUCUUCUCUCUAGGGAUGGAGAACCGUCCAGGACUCGGAGUUGGGUUGUCGGAGCGAUCGCUUCGACCGAGGCGGGCUCCACCGCGUGGUACAACGGCAGCGCUCAGGGGCAGGAACUUCUCGGUAUCUACUCCAGCAGGAUGUUUCCUUCCUGUAUGUGUUCCAUCAUGGACAAUACCGCAUACCAAAUUCCUUGUAUCCAAUGGAAAAUCGUGCCCUUGUGCGUAGAGCGGACAAAGCAUUCGCCAGAGGGAUCACCCAUAAGCAGCACGUGAUCCUAGGAUACGGUGCCAGGCGUGGAGAAGCGGGUACGGUAUCGAGGCGCGUCCGCGCUACGCUUCAUGGACGUGUACAGAGCGGCGAGGCAAGGCGUUCACGCGCCACAUGGCGGCUCCUGGAGAUAGGAUGUAUGGCGGACAUACGAGAGCACCUGACCGCAGUCCAGUGUCACCGCUGAGAAGCGCACACUGAGGCUGUUACCAUGGACGCUGAAAAUAGCGUGCGAGGCAUAGCUCGCAACUACCGCAUGUGCAUCAAUUGCGUCGAUCAUAGCAAGAAGCUGCGAAAUGUGCAUUUGAACGCUGCCACCAACAUCCCCGCACUGCUCACGAAUAUGCUGGAGCGCAAGGCGCGAUCGGAGGACUUCAAGCCGUACAUGAAUGACAGGGAAAGCAAGCAGAGGCAGGAAAACCCGCAACAGCUGGUUUUGAUCACAUCUUCAGCAUGGGAAACAUCGAGAUUGAACGCCCGAGUUUGCCAACGGGACGAUUUCAGAUGGAGUCUAACAGAGGCGUCAAACAAUGUCGCGGCCAUGCCCUUGUUCAAAAAAAUGUCGUUCCACAAGCGUCUGAUGGACAAGCACGGCGAAGCGACGCUUUCAUAGAAAGCAAAUGUAAUGCUUCUUCCUGGACAGAGACGCGUCAUCAAGGAGGCUCUCGUUCCAUAUCUGGAUGCGAAAACGUCUUCAAGGAUCUCGUUGUCUACUCCUAGAACAUGUGUUCCCGUGCCAUGAGCUCUGCAUCCCGCUCUAGCUGACGCCGAUCCGGUGUAUUCGAUUCAAGUACUUCAGAAGCUGGAUCCGUGACCGCAGGGAUGCUCCCUGCAUCUUGUUCUGCAGAGAGGAAGGACGACGAGCCUUCCAGGACGGUGUCCGAUACGCUGCGAUGUGUCUCCCGCAGGUCUCUGGUCUGCCAAGGCGGUGCUUGGCCCGUGCUCCCCCCGCGGUACACCACCGGAGUGCCAGUUGCAGAUUCCUCGAAUAGCAGUUGCAGGCCUGUAUCCUCAACAGGAUUGGCGACCUCUUCACUGUAGUUCGCUAGGAUAUCGACCAGUUCGGAUCGAGAACGUCGCGGUGGGCGAGUAUGUCGGUGUCGCCAGAGCUGCUGCUCAAGUUCCGUUUCCGUUUCCGUUCGGUGUUUCUGCUCGAAUUGACGCAUCCAAGGGCCAGCAAUGGAUCCAGCAUGCCCUCUGGUCUGUUCCGAACGUUCCCGGUCAGCAGACUCGGACGGAAACGUUUCGGUUAGAGAGACCAUUCCGGACGGCAGCGUCCAGCUGCGUAAAAGCCCAGGACGCGUGCCACUUUCGCCAGCCGCUUGUCCGAUAAAGCGCUCACCACUGCUGCC